rnacentral:rRNA from 1 species
UACAGAGGGUGCGAGCGUUAAUCGGAAUUACUGGGCGUAAAGCGCGCGUAGGCGGCUUUGCAAGUCGGGUGUGAAAUCCCCAGGCUUAACCUGGGAACUGCAUUCGAGACUGCGUUGCUAGAGUAUGGGAGAGGGAAGUGGAAUUUCCGGUGUAGCGGUGAAAUGCGUAGAUAUCGGAAGGAACAUCAGUGGCGAAAGCGACUUCCUGGACCAAUACUGACGCUCAUGUGCGAAAGCGUGGGGAGCAAACAGG